rnacentral:rRNA from 1 species
GUCCAUGCCGUAAACGAUGGAUACUUGUUGUUGGAGGUAUUGACCCCUUCAGUGACGAAGCUAACGCGUUAAGUAUCCCGCCUGGGAAGUACGGUCGCAAGAUUAAAACUCAAAGAAAUUGACGGGGGCCCGCACAAGCGGUGGAGCAUGUGGUUUAAUUCGAUGCAACGCGAAAACCUUACCUGGGUUUGACAUACAGUGGAAGAUCUCUAGAGAUAGGAUCGCCUUCGGGCCGCUGUACAGGUGCUGCAUGGCUGUCGU